CUGCGUUUUGGAUUACUGUUGUUGGGCCGGUGGUGGCGGUGGUGUUGGCGGUGGCGGGCGCAGCGUGGUGGUGUCUACAAAAAAAGAAACCGAUGCCAACCCAGAACCAAGGACUGGAGUUAAGAUCCGACGAUGGUGAUCAGACAGCACCGGGAAAUGGAGUCACGACUGAAGACGGGGCUGCACAAUCAAUGCUAAGUGGAACCAAUAGACCUGUUACUGGGGACGGGACCGUCACCCUGACAAAUGAUGGGUCCCCUUUGGACGGAUGAAGGCGCCGUUGACUCACUUCUGGCUGUUGGACAGCCUAGUGCUCUGGUGCUCGAGGCAGGGGCGGAGCAGGGCAAGGCAUAAGGCGCGGGAGAGGGAUAAUAGGUUGGUAGUUACUCAAACUACCUUUGAAGAUAUACUAAUUCAUCAUGGUGUGAGUAAACAAUAAUAAUAUAUAUAUAUAUAUAUUGGUGAAAUUAAUCCCUAAAAUAAUCUUGAAAAGGAAUAAAUGAGUGACUCUUUGUUAAUCUAUUCUGUUGCAUUUGUUUAAGCAAAUAAAUUCAUGUUUGUCAAAUUUGCCGAAAA